GCCCACUCUCCACCACCCAGUUCUGAAUCUGCUUGGAUUGCUGCCUGGGUCCAGUUUGUUACGGCAGCCAUGACAGAGAAACGGGAUAAACAGCAGAAAAGACAAGAAUAAAAGGACAGACCGUGAGCAGAAAAACACUGCAUCAUCAACUGCUGCACCUGUCGUCACCACCAGCACCAACUUCAAGGCCUCCUCUCCCUUCACUGCUGGGCAUGCGGCCGUCCUCCAUUGCAGCCAGCCUCCUGUUCUGCCCUGUUGCCGCUGCUGGGAUCAUAGCUGGCCUCCUGUUCUGUCUAGUCCCCACCGCUUGGACACGCGGCUGUCCCCCUCAACUGCUUUAUCGUGUUUGCCAUUGGCCAUGUGGCAGGCCCCCUGCACUGAGUCAUGUGCACUGCUGGCACCGUGGCUAGC